AUCAUUUCUCAGCCUUUUGCCUAAGAUCAAGUAUCUGUUCUUAUCAGUUUAAUACCUGAUACGUCUUCUAGCUGAGGACAAUAUAUUAAAUGGAUUUUUGGAACUAGAAGAUGGAAUAGGAGCUUGCUCCAUCCACUCCACAUAUCAACCUGGUAUUGCAGUAUCUCCAGGAAUAGUGCACCCCCU
ensembl:snRNA U2 U2 spliceosomal RNA